GACUACUGUGCUGCUUGGACUGCUCUCUGCCAGAUUGUCCUUGGUACCUUGCCUCACUGUCCUGCCUCGUGUUCUACCCUGUUGUGCUUUUUGGUCCACUCUUCAGUCAUGUUUGUUGUGGGGGCAGUGGUCUCAGUUGGGAAGUCCAGACUUCCUGGUCCCUGGCCAUCUCUUCCACUUUUAUUGGGAGGACACCAAGGCAUUCCCAGGCCAGCUGUGAGACAUAAUCCCUCCAGGGUGUCCUAGGUCUUCCCUGGGGCCUUCUCCCUGUUGGACAUACCCAGAACACCUCAGGAAGCAGGGAAAACCACUACAGUACUCUUGGUCAUCAAUGUAACGAGAUAGACCAAAGUCGCCAAGCUUGACGCAGUCAGGAGAAGCCACCAGGAUGUUUCUCACCGCGAUGUCUCUACACAAUCCCAACAGAUUUUACAAUGACGUCGGAGAGUCCACUUCUAGAUGUGAAAGGAUAUCUGGCCAUACCUGUGCACCAUGUUGAGGCCUUCCAGGUAAGCUAAGGCUUUGCAGAUUUGCAGACAGUACAGAAUUAAAGUCGCUGUUGUCAGGAUGUACUUCUGCUCCAUCAGAUAUUUCCCCAACUGACAGUACACACAGACACACAAGGGUCACUUGGGUCAAUGAUUGCAUUACUCAGUCAAUAUUGCACUUAUUAGUUAUUGAUUUAAUCUAAUAACAAUAACGAAACCACAAUUUUAGAACUUUUAAUCCCACAAUACAGAAAUUAAAAUACAGUAAUCCGUCAUUGUCAUGGUAAUUGGGAAUUGGUAGUAGUGCUGUUUGGUAACAGCAGAAAGGACACGCACUGGCAAAUACAAAUAGACGGUGUGGACAUUGAAAGGGUGAACGAAAAUACAUUUCUGGGGAUCACAAUAGAUGAAAAUAUGAGCUGGAAACCUCAUAUUACAAAUAUACAACAUAAGGUGGCCAGAAAUAUUUCAGUAUUGAACAAAGCAAAACUUGUUCUCAAUUAGAAAUCACUCCACACUCUUUAUUGCUCUCUGGUUCUACCAUAUCUUACUUAUUGUGUGGAAAUAUGGGCUCAUAACUAUAAAAGCAAUCUUCACUCGCUAAAUAUACUGCAAAAAAGGUCAGUAAGGAUAAUUCAUAAUGCCGCCCACAGAGAACAUACUAACUCCUUAUUUCUAAAAUCACAAAUACUUAAACUUGCUGAUAUAGUUUACCUUCAAACAGCUAAAAUAAUGCAUAAGGCUAAAAAUAACCAAUUACCUAAAAAUGUCAUCCAAUACUUCUCUACAAGAGAGGAGAAAUAUGAUCUCAGGGAAGAACUAAAUUUGAAACAAAUAUAUGCUAGGACUACGUUAAAAAGCCAUAGCAUUUCAGUAUGUGGAAUCAAACUAUGGAAUGGAUUGAGUAAGGACCUCAAACAAUGCACAACGAUGAGCCAAUUCAAGAAACAAUACAAGCAGUUGAUGUUUGCUAAAUACAAGGAUGAAGAGUCUUGAACCAGUCAUGAUACGUGCUAUAUAUAUCACUAUAUUGACACUUACUAUGGUACCCAUUAUGUCAUUGUAUGGUCAUAUCACGAGGUACAUUAUUAAAAAAUAAAUAAAUAAAUAAAUAAAACUUAAACUGUAUUAUGGAAAGCAGGGAGUGAACAAAUGUAACAGUUACUGAUUGUAAAAGUACCAGAUGGAGGGGUAGGAUUUAAUAAGCUUUGCUUCUUCCUACUCCUUUUGGACAUGUGGAACUGUGAACUGAUUAUGGGAUGCACUCAAUUGUAAUCUGAUGCAUGUUCAAAUGAAAUUAAACCAUUACCAUUACCAUAAAUGGCCAGCAGUUUGUAGAAAUCCAUACACACCUCUCCAUGCUCAUAAAGCUCCAUGACAAUCCAUAUGGGGUUGACCUCAAUGACUCCAAUCAGUCGUACAAUGUAAGGGUGGUCUAGAUUUUUCAUCAAGUCUGAAAUGACAUUCAUUUAUUUCAUCCAAAAGUGACCAGUCACAUAGACACCCGUCAAUCACUGGGCACAUAAAAGCAACCCUUCACACCUAUGGACAUCAUUGGACCUAAGAUGCAUGUUUUAGGACUCACCGGCUUCACUAAGAAACUUCUCCUUUACACCCGGUGAGCAGUCCUUGCAUGUUUUAAUGGCCACUUGGAUCUUUUCCCCUGUCUUUAUUCACAACACUCAGUCACCAUGAUCAUUCUAUCACAUUUUAAAGUACAAGUCAACUCACCGGGCUUGUGUAAACACCACUGUGAACCUCUCCAAAGAAGCCCUCACCCAGGAUCCCACCCAGGAUGACAUCAGCUCGGGAGAUCCUAAGCUUCUCUGAGUCGACUAGCAAAAAGAUAUUCCAAACUUAUUCAAAAAUAAUGGAUAAUGCAGCAUUGUGAUUUUCAAGCAUUCUUCAUGUUUGACUCACCACACGGCUCCGGACUGUUCUCAGAAAUCUCAGCAUAAAUGUCUGAAUCUGACAGGACAAAAAGUUACAAGUUGAAAAGGCUCCUGUGUGGAGUGCAUAUGUUUUUGUG